GACGAACGCUGGCGGCGUGCUUAACACAUGCAAGUCGAACGAAGAGCGAUGGAAGCUUGCUUCUAUCAAUCUUAGUGGCGAACGGGUGAGUAACGCGUAAUCAACCUGCCCUUCAGAGGGGGACAACAGUUGGAAACGACUGCUAAUACCGCAUACGAUCUAAUCUCGGCAUCGAGGAUAGAUGAAAGGUGGCCUCUACAUGUAAGCUAUCACUGAAGGAGGGGAUUGCGUCUGAUUAGCUAGUUGGAGGGGUAACGGCCCACCAAGGCGAUGAUCAGUAGCCGGUCUGAGAGGAUGAACGGCCACAUUGGGACUGAGACACGGCCCAGACUCCUACGGGAGGUAGCAGUGGGGAAUCUUCCGCAAUGGACGAAAGUCUGACGGAGCAACGCCGCGUGAGUGAUGACGGCCUUCGGGUUGUAAAGCUCUGUUAAUCGGGACGAAAGGCCUUCUUGCGAAUAGUGAGAAGGAUUGACGGUACCGGAAUAGAAAGCCACGGCUAACUACGUG
rnacentral:rRNA from 1 species